rnacentral:rRNA from 1 species
GAUCCUGGCUCAGGAUGAACGUUAGCUACAGGCUUAACACAUGCAAGUCGAGGGGCAGCAUUUCAGUUUGCUUGCAAACUGGAGAUGGCGACCGGCGCACGGGUGAGUAACACGUAUCCAACCUGCCGAUAACUCGGGGAUAGCCUUUCGAAAGAAAGAUUAAUACCCGAUAGUAUAAUUAGACCGCAUGGUCUUAUUAUUAAAGAAUUUCGGUUAUCGAUGGGGAUGCGUUCAAUUAGGCAGUUGGUG